rnacentral:rRNA from 1 species
UAGGGAAUAUUGCACAAUGGGGGAAACCCUGAUGCAGCGACGCCGCGUGAGUGAUGAAGGCCUUCGGGUCGUAAAGCUCUGUCGUAUGGGACUAACACAAUGAAGGUACCAUGCAAGAAAGGAUCGGCUAACUUCGUGCCAGCAGCCGCGGUAAGACGAGGGAUCCUAGCGUUGUUCGGAAUUAUUGGGCGUAAAGCGGGUGUAGGCGGAUCUAUAAGUCAGGUGUGAAAUCCCAGGGCUCAACCCUGGAAGUGCACUUGAUACUGCAGAUCUUGAGUGUGGUAGAGGUUACUGGAAUUCCUGGUGUAGUGGUAAAAUACGUAGAUAUCAGGAGGAAUACCGGAGGCGAAGGCGAGUAACUGGGCCAACACUGACGCUGAGACCCGAAAGCGUGGGGAUCAAACA